rnacentral:lncRNA from 10 species
GUUUGACUGAGGGAAUAUGGGGCAUAGAGUCCAAGAUCUUUGGAAGCAAGGAAAUAAGAACUGAAAGACACGUUUUUGGGAAAUGUCAUCUGAGUAGGGAUUGAUAUCAUCAAGACAGGUCAGGAGUCGUGACAGAGAGAAAGGGAGGUCCUGAGCCAUGAGCUAAAAGCUUCAAGAAAUGGCAGGGAGUGAUGGGAGGAUUGAGGCUGAUUUUUGCACCUUCUGUUACUUGGCUGAGACCAAGGCGCCUCUUCCUGGGGAGGUGGCUGAGCUCUUUCUAGCAGGCCCUGAAAUCUCCAGAACUUUGGUCCCAGCUGCCUAAG